rnacentral:rRNA from 1 species
AUUGAACGCCGGCGGCAGGCCUAACACAUGCAAGUCGAACGGUAACAGGAAGAAGCUUGCUUCUUUGCUGACGAGUGGCGGACGGGUGAGUAAUGUCUGGGAAACUGCCUGAUGGAGGGGGAUAACUACUGGAAACGGUAGCUAAUACCGCAUAACGUCGCAAGACCAAAAAGGGGGACCUUCGGGCCUCUUGCCAUCGGAUGUGCCCAGAUGGGAUUAGCUAGUAGGUGGGGUAACGGCUCACCUAGGCGACGAUCCCUAGCUGGUCUGAGAGGAUGACCAGCCACACUGGAACUGAGACACGGUCCAGACUCCUACGGGAGGCAGCAGUGGGGAAUAUUACACAAUGGGCGCAAGCCUGAUGCAGCCAUGCCGCGUGUAUGAAGAAGGCCUUCGGGUUGUAAAGUACUUUCAGCGGGGAGGAAGGGAGUAAAGUUAAUACCUUUGCUCAUUGACGUUACCCGCAGAAGAAGCACCGGCUAACUCCGUG